rnacentral:rRNA from 1 species
GUGGCCUACGGGGGGCAGCAGUGGGGAAUAUUGCACAAUGGGGGAAACCCUGAUGCAGCGACGCCGCGUGAGUGAAGAAGUAUCUCGGUACGUAAAGCUCUAUCAGCAGGGAAGAAAAUGACGGUACCUGACUAAGAAGCCCCGGCUAACUACGUGCCAGCAGCCGCGGUAAUACGUAGGGGGCAAGCGUUAUCCGGAUUUACUGGGUGUAAAGGGAGCGUAGACGGCAGAGCAAGUCUGGAGUGAAAUGACGGGGACCAACCCCG